rnacentral:tRNA from 1 species
ACCAGGGUGGCCGAGUGGUCUAAGGCGAUGGUUUUAAGCACCAUUAUCGAGAGAUGCCAGGGUUCGAACCCCUGUCCUGGUA